rnacentral:tRNA from 1 species
GCCACUGUAGCUCAGUCGGUAGAGCAACUGAUUCGUAAUCAGUAGGUCCGCGGUUCGAUUCCGCGCAGUGGCU